UGAUGGAUUAUUGAAGGUUGAAAAUAUAACU
rnacentral:piRNA from 1 species